ACGAACGCUGGCGGCGUGCUUAACACAUGCAAGUCGAACGGAAAGGCCUGCAGCUUGCUGCGGGUACUCGAGUGGCGAACGGGUGAGUAACACGUGGGUGAUCUGCCUUGCACUUCGGGAUAAGCUUGGGAAACUGGGUCUAAUACCGGAUAGGACAGCUGUUUAGUGUCAGUUGUGGAAAGUUUUUUCGGUGCAAGAUGAGCUCGCGGCCUAUCAGCUUGUUGGUGGGGUAAUGGCCUACCAAGGCGUCGACGGGUAGCCGGCCUGAGAGGGUGUACGGCCACAUUGGGACUGAGAUACGGCCCAGACUCCUACGGGAGGCAGCAGUGGGGAAUAUUGCACAAUGGGCGGAAGCCUGAUGCAGCGACGCCGCGUGGGGGAUGAAGGCCUUCGGGUUGUAAACUCCUUUCGACAGGGACGAAGCGUAAGUGACGGUACCUGUAUAAGAAGCACCGGCUAACUACGUGCCAGCAGCCGCGGUAAUACGUAGGGUGCGAGCGUUGUCCGGAAUUACUGGGCGUAAAGAGCUCGUAGGUGGUUUGUCGCGUCGUCUGUGAAAUUCCGGGGCUUAACUCCGGGCGUGCAGGCGAUACGGGCUGACUUGAGUGCUGUAGGGGAGACUGGAAUUCCUGGUGUAGCGGUGAAAUGCGCAGAUAUCAGGAGGAACACCGAUGGCGAAGGCAGGUCUCUGGGCAGUAACUGACGCUGAGGAGCGAAAGCAUGGGUAGCGAACAGGAUUAGAUACCCUGGUAGUCCAUGCCGUAAACGGUGGGCGCUAGGUGUAGGGGGCUUCCACGUCUUCUGUGCCGUAGCUAACGCAUUAAGCGCCCCGCCUGGGGAGUACGGCCCGCAGGCUA
rnacentral:rRNA from 1 species